AGCUCACUGGUCGAGUCGGCCUGCGCGGAAGAUGUAACGGGGCUAAACCAUGCACCGAAGCUGCGGCAGCGAACGUAUCACUUAAAGCGAUUCAGCGGGUUACGAUUGACGGAGCGAAGCGACGUCAAAGCGUAUACAAAGUCGAGUCGGUUUAAGGAUACGUUCGUUGGGUAGGGGAGCGUUCUGUAAGCCUGUGAAGGUGGCCUGUGAGGGUUGCUGGAGGUAUCAGAAGUGCGAAUGCUGACAUAAGUAACGAUAAAGCGGGUGAAAAGCCCGCUCGCCGGAAGACCAAGGGUUCCUGUCCAACGUUAAUCGGGGCAGGGUGAGUCGACCCCUAAGGCGAGGCCGAAAGGCGUAGUCGAUGGGAAACGGGUUAAUAUUCCCGUACUUGGUGUUACUGCGAAGGGGGGACGGAGAAGGCUAUGUUGGCCGGGCGACGGUUGUCCCGGUUUAAGCGUGUAGGUGUGUGUUCCAGGUAAAUCCGGUUCACUUUAACACUGAGGCGUGAUGACGAGGCACUACGGUGCUGAAGCAACAAAUGCCCUGCUUCCAGGAAAAGCCUCUAAGCAUCAGGUAACAUCAAAUCGUACCCCAAACCGACACAGGUGGUCAGGUAGAGAAUACCAAGGCGCUUGAGAGAACUCGGGUGAAGGAACUAGGCAAAAUGGUGCCGUAACUUCGGGAGAAGGCACGCUGACACGUAGGUGAAGUGAUUUACUCACGGAGCUGAAGUCAGUCGAAGAUACCAGCUGGCUGCAACUGUUUAUUAAAAACACAGCACUGUGCAAACACGAAAGUGGACGUAUACGGUGUGACGCCUGCCCGGUGCCGGAAGGUUAAUUGAUGGGGUCAGCGCAAGCGAAGCUCCUGAUCGAAGCCCCGGUAAACGGCGGCCGUAACUAUAACGGUCCUAAGGUAGCGAAAUUCCUUGUCGGGUAAGUUCCGACCUGCACGAAUGGCGUAAUGAUGGCCAGGCUGUCUCCACCCGAGACUCAGUGAAAUUGAACUCGCUGUGAAGAUGCAGUGUACCCGCGGCAAGACGGAAAGACCCCGUGAACCUUUACUAUAGCUUGACACUGAACAUUGAGCCUUGAUGUGUAGGAUAGGUGGGAGGCUUUGAAGUGUGGACGCCAGUCUGCAUGGAGCCGACCUUGAAAUACCACCCUUUAAUGUUUGAUGUUCUAACGUGGACCCGUUACCCGGGUUGCGGACAGUGUCUGGUGGGUAGUUUGACUGGGGCGGUCUCCUCCUAAAGAGUAACGGAGGAGCACGAAGGUUGGCUAAUCCUGGUCGGACAUCAGGAGGUUAGUGCAAUGGCAUAAGCCAGCUUGACUGCGAGCGUGACGGCGCGAGCAGGUGCGAAAGCAGGUCAUAGUGAUCCGGUGGUUCUGAAUGGAAGGGCCAUCGCUCAACGGAUAAAAGGUACUCCGGGGAUAACAGGCUGAUACCGCCCAAGAGUUCAUAUCGACGGCGGUGUUUGGCACCUCGAUGUCGGCUCAUCACAUCCUGGGGCUGAAGUAGGUCCCAAGGGUAUGGCUGUUCGCCAUUUAAAGUGGUACGCGAGCUGGGUUUAGAACGUCGUGAGACAGUUCGGUCCCUAUCUGCCGUGGGCGCUGGAGAACUGAGGGGGGCUGCUCCUAGUACGAGAGGACCGGAGUGGACGCAUCACUGGUGUUCGGGUUGUCAUGCCAAUGGCACUGCCCGGUAGCUAAAUGCGGAAGAGAUAAGUGCUGAAAGCAUCUAAGCACGAAACUUGCCCCGAGAUGAGUUCUCCCUGAGACUUAGAGUCUCCUGAAGGAACGUUGAAGACGACGACGUUGAUAGGCCGGGUGUGUAAGCGCAGCGAUGCGUUGAGCUAACCGGUACUAAUGAACCGUGAGGCUUAACC
rnacentral:rRNA from 1 species